rnacentral:rRNA from 1 species
CCUACGGGAGGCAGCAGUGGGGAAUAUUGCACAAUGGGGGAAACCCUGAUGCAGCGACGCCGCGUGAGUGAAGAAGUAAUUCGUUAUGUAAAGCUCUAUCAGCAGGGAAGAAAAUGACGGUACCUGAGUAAGAAGCCCCGGCUAACUACGUGCCAGCAGCCGCGGUAAUACGUAGGGGGCAAGCGUUAUCCGGCUUUACUGGGUGGAAAGGGAGCGUAGACGGCAGUGCAAGUCUGGAGUGAAAGGCGGGGGCUCAACCCCCGGACUGCUCUGGAAACUGUACGGCUGGAGUGCAGGGGAGGUAAGUGGAAUUCCUAGUGUAGCGGUGAAAUGCGUAGAUAUUAGGAGGAACACCAGUGGCGAAGGCGGCUUACUGGACUGUAACUGACGUUGAGGCUCGAAAGCGUGGGGAGCAAACAGGAUUAGAUACCCUAGUAGUC